CAAUAGCGCAUAUUAAAGUUGUUGCAGUUAAAAAGCUCGUAGUUGAAUUUUUGCUUGCCGCCGAUGUCGGAACUUCCGUACGUUCGGCGGCGUGCAUCCUUGGGUGGAACCUGUGUGGCAUUAGGUUGUCGUGCAGGGGAUGCUCAUCGUUUACUGUGAAAAAAUUAGAGUGUUCAAAGCAGGCUUACGCCGUUGAAUAUAUUAGCAUGGAAUAAUAAGAUAGGACCUUGGUACUAUUUUGUUGGUUUGCGCACCGAGGUAAUGAUUAACAGGGACAGUUGGGGGUAUUCGUAUUCCAUUGUCAGAGGUGAAAUUCUUGGAUUUCUGGAAGACGAACUACUGCGAAAGCAUUUACCAAGGAUGUUUUCAUUAA
rnacentral:rRNA from 1 species